rnacentral:rRNA from 1 species
AGAGUUUGAUCCUGGCUCAGGAUGAACGCUGGCGGCGCGCCUAACACAUGCAAGUCGAACGGCACCCAUCUUCGGAUGGAAGCGAGUGGCGAACGGCUGAGUAACACGUGGAGAACCUGCCCCCUCCCCCGGGAUAGCCGCCCGAAAGGACGGGUAAUACCGGAUACCCCGGGGUGCCGCAUGGCGCCCCGGCUAAAGCCCCGACGGGAGGGGAUGGCUCCGCGGCCCAUCAGGUAGACGGCGGGGUGACGGCCCACCGUGCCGACAACGGGUAGCCGGGUUGAGAGACCGACCGGCCAGAUUGGGACUGAGACACGGCCCAGACUCCUACGGGAGGCAGCAGUGGGGAAUCUUGCGCAAUGGGGGGAACCCUGACGCAGCGACGCCGCGUGCGGGACGGAGGCCUUCGGGUCGUAAACCGCUUUCAGCAGGGAAGAGCCAAGACUGUACCUGCAGAAGAAGCCCCGGCUAACUACGUGCCAGCAGCCGCGGUAAUACGUAGGGGGCGAGCGUUAUCCGGAUUCAUUGGGCGUAAAGCGCGCGUAGGCGGCCCGGCAGGCCGGGGGUCGAAGCGGGGGGCUCAACCCCCCGAAGCCCCCGGAACCUCCGCGGCUUGGGUCCGGUAGGGGAGGGUGGAACACCCGGUGUAGCGGUGGAAUGCGCAGAUAUCGGGUGGAACACCGGUGGCGAAGGCGGCCCUCUGGGCCGAGACCGACGCUGAGGCGCGAAAGCUGGGGGAGCGAACAGGAUUAGAUACCCUGGUAGUCCCAGCCGUAAACGAUGGACGCUAGGUGUGGGGGGACGAUCCCCCCGUGCCGCAGCCAACGCAUUAAGCGUCCCGCCUGGGGAGUACGGCCGCAAGGCUAAAACUCAAA